rnacentral:rRNA from 1 species
GCUCCAUGAUUCAGCGGCGGACGGGUGAGUAAUGCCUAGGAAUCUGCCUGGUAGUGGGGGACAACGUUUCGAAAGGAACGCUAAUACCGCAUACGUCCUACGGGAGAAAGUGGGGGAUCUUCGGACCUCACGCUAUCAGAUGAGCCUAGGUCGGAUUAGCUAGUUGGUGGGGUAAAGGCUCACCAAGGCGACGAUCCGUAACUGGUCUGAGAGGAUGAUCAGUCACACUGGAACUGAGACACGGUCCAGACUCCUACGGGAGGCAGCAGUGGGGAAUAUUGGACAAUGGGCGAAAGCCUGAUCCAGCCAUGCCGCGUGUGUGAAGAAGGUCUUCGGAUUGUAAAGCACUUUAAGUUGGGAGGAAGGGCAGUAAGUUAAUACCUUGCUGUUUUGACGUUACCGACAGAAUAAGCACCGGCUAACUUCGUGCCAGCAGCCGCGGUAAUACGAAGGGUGCAAGCGUUAAUCGGAAUUACUGGGCGUAAAGCGCGCGUAGGUGGUUCGUUAAGUUGGAUGUGAAAGCCCCGGGCUCAACCUGGGAACUGCAUCCAAAACUGGCGAGCUAGAGUAUGGCAGGGGGUGGUGGAAUUUCCUGUGUAG